ensembl:snRNA U6 U6 spliceosomal RNA
GUGCUCCCUGAGCAGCACAUUCUCUGAAACUUGGAAAAAUUCAGAGUGGAUUAGCAUCGAGGAUGACACACAAAUUUAUAAAGUACUUAAAAAAAAA